rnacentral:snRNA from 1 species
GGGUGUGAGGGGGAUCUGGCUGCGACAUCUCUCACCCCACUGAUCUCCGGGGUUGAUUCAGCUGAUCUGGCUGGCUAUGUGUGUGUCCCCUGCCUCCCUCACCCUCCAUGUGUGCCCCCUGGAAGCUGCACGCUGGGCGGAAGAGACAGACAGUUCCCUGUGCCCCAAAAGAAGGGGUGGGGGUUCUCCAGAGAGCAGCACUUCUCUCUCAUCACCUUAAGAAACAAUGGCUCCGCUGAACGUUGCGAGAAUGGAUCCUGAU